rnacentral:sRNA from 1 species
CUAAAAUUCUGGUUAAGCUCAAGCUUUAGGCUUUCACACCAAUUACACAAGGGGAUUAUGACACACACGUGUACAAAGCUGGAAUUGAGGUUUUACGUUUGAAACGGAUCUUUGAUUGGAUCAUCUUUUUUUCUCUAUGACCGUUUGAAGAAGACCGUUUGAAGAACAAUUAUAACGUUCCAAGUCUCUCUCUCUGAUUUCUCUCGUUAUUUCGAAUCCCUAAAUUUUUAUUUUCGGCAAACAUCUGAAGAAGUUUAUGAUCACCGACGAUUGUUUUCUCCGGCGACUAUUCGACGAUCAGACAAUCGAUUCCCUAAUUAAGAUGGUUUUGAAAGAUCAUUAACGAUCGCGAGACUUUACGAUUGAGGGGAUUUUGUUUGGAUGGUCGUAGCAUCACCGACGGUGGAGGAUGGCGGUAGAUACGGAGGGCGGUGGAGAGCCGUGAGGGAUGAAGUUACGGAGGAAGCGGUGGUCGUGGCUGGUAAUCGU